GUGGGGAAUUUUGGACAAUGGGCGCAAGCCUGAUCCAGCAAUGCCGCGUGCAGGAGGAAGGCCUUCGGGUUGUAAACUGCUUUUGUACGGAACGAAACGGUCCGGGUUAAUACCCUGGGCUAAUGACGGUACCGUAAGAAUAAGCACCGGCUAACUACGUGCCAGCAGCCGCGGUAAUACGUAGGGUGCGAGCGUUAAUCGGAAUUACUGGGCGUAAAGCGUGCGCAGGCGGCUUUGCAAGACAGAUGUGAAAUCCCCGGGCUCAACCUGGGAACUGCAUUUGUGACUGCAAGGCUAGAGUACGGCAGAGGGGGAUGGAAUUCCGCGUGUAGCAGUGAAAUGCGUAGAUAUGCGGAGGAACACCAAUGGCGAAGGCAAUCCCCUGGGCCUGUACUGACGCUCAUGCACGAAAGCGUGGGGAGCAAACAGGAUUAGAAACCCGAGUAGUCC
rnacentral:rRNA from 1 species